rnacentral:ncRNA from 1 species
UGAAAAAGGCAGAGGUAGCGUUUUAUGCUUGAGAAAUACUCUUUGAACCUGAUCUAGUUAAUACUAGCGUAGGAAGUCCUUAAAAAGAUCAUU